rnacentral:rRNA from 1 species
GCAUGCAGGCAUGAGUAGCGAUAAUUAAUGUGAGAAUCAUUAACGCCGUAAACCCAAGGUUUCCUACGCGAUGCUCGUCAUCGUAGGGUUAGUCGGGUCCUAAGUCGAGUCCGAAAGGGGUAGACGAUGGCAAAUUGGUUAAUAUUCCAAUACCAACAUUAGUGUGCGAUGGAAGGACGCUUAGGGCUAAGGGGGCUAGCGGAUGGAAGUGCUAGUCUAAGGUCGUAGGAGGUUGUACAGGCAAAUCCGUAUAACAAUACUCCGAGAACUGAAAGGCUUUUUGAAGUCUUCGGAUGGAUAGAAGAACCCCUGAUGCCGUCGAGCCAAGAAAAGUUUCUAAGUUUAGCUAAUGUUGCCCGUACCGUAAACCGACACAGGUGGGUGGGAUGAGUAUUCUAAGGCGCGUGGAAGAACUCUCUUUAAGGAACUCUGCAAAAUAGCACCGUAUCUUCGGUAUAAGGUGUGGUUAGCUUCGUACUAGGAUUUACUCCGAAAGCGAAGAAACUUACAACAAAGAGUCCCUCCCGACUGUUUACCAAAAACACAGCACUCUGCUAACUCGUAAGAGGAUGUAUAGGGUGUGACGCCUGCCCGGUGCUCGAAGGUUAAUUGAUGGGGUUAGCAUUAGCGAAGCUCUUGAUCGAAGCCCGAGUAAACGGCGGCCGUAACUAUAACGGUCCUAAGGUAGCGAAAUUCCUUGUCGGUUAAAUACCGACCUGCAUGAAUGGCGUAACGAGAUGGGAGCUGUCUCAAAGAGGGAUCCAGUGAAAUUGUAGUGGAGGUGAAAAUUCCUCCUACCCGCGGCAAGACGGAAAGACCCCGUGGACCUUUACUACAGCUUGACACUGCUACUUGGAUAAGAAUGUGCAGGAUAGGUGGGAGGCUUUGAGUAUAUGACGCCAGUUGUAUAUGAGCCAUUGUUGAGAUACCACUCUUUCUUAUUUGGGUAGCUAACCAGCUUGAGUUAUCCUCAAGUGGGACAAUGUCUGGUGGGUAGUUUGACUGGGGCGGUCGCCUCCCAAAUAAUAACGGAGGCUUACAAAGGUUGGCUCAGAACGGUUGGAAAUCGUUCGUAGAGUAUAAAGGUAUAAGCCAGCUUAACUGCAAGACAUACAAGUCAAGCAGAGACGAAAGUCGGUCUUAGUGAUCCGGUGGUUCUGUGUGGAAGGGCCAUCGCUCAAAGGAUAAAAGGUACCCCGGGGAUAACAGGCUGAUCUCCCCCAAGAGCUCACAUCGACGGGGAGGUUUGGCACCUCGAUGUCGGCUCAUCGCAUCCUGGGGCUGGAGCAGGUCCCAAGGGUAUGGCUGUUCGCCAUUUAAAGCGGUACGCGAGCUGGGUUCAGAACGUCGUGAGACAGUUCGGUCCCUAUCUGCCGUGGGCGUAAGAAGAUUGAAGAGAUUUGACCCUAGUACGAGAGGACCGGGUUGAACAAACCACUGGUGUAGCUGUUGUUCUGCCAAGAGCAUCGCAGCGUAGCUAAGUUUGGAAAGGAUAAACGCUGAAAGCAUCUAAGCGUGAAGCCAACUCUAAGAUGAAUCUUCUCUAAGCUCUCUAGAAGACUACUAGUUUGAUAGGCUGGGUGUGUAAUGGAUGAAAGUCCUUUAGCUGACCAGUACUAAUAGAGCGUUUGGCUUAUCUUUAAUAAAGCAU